rnacentral:misc_RNA from 1 species
AUCAAUCUAAUUUUAAACCUGAUAUAACGUUAGAUGUGAUAAACUAUGAUGUGUGUGGACCGCAUUAUUGCGACGACAAAAAAUUUGCAUGCUCAAAAGUCAAGUGCUCAUGAAACGAAGUGGAAGGUUAUAGACCAGAAAUCUGCAGCUGCUGUAUCGAAUGUUACAAGAAACUAAGUGAAGGAGACAAGUGUGGAGAUGAUGACGAAGCUCUUUGUGACCGCGGAUUAAUAUGCAAAGAAAAUGUGUGCCGGAAGUUUGAAGCCCAGCCUUUGUAAAGCUCUUUGUAAAGCACGUUUUAUAUACCCAACGAAUAAAAUAUGUCUAAAUAAUUUUUAAUAAAUAAUAUUUUGUACGUA